rnacentral:lncRNA from 1 species
CCUUUAGAAUGCUUAAAUCUUGAAGUUGACUUGAAAGGACCCCUAAUCUAAACUCUCUCUUUGUCCAUUCCUCUUAUUGCAUUGUGAACUUUUUAUAAAUCUUGAAGUUGACUUGAAAGGACCCCUAAUCUAAACUCUCUCUUUGUCCAUUCCUCUUAUUGCAUUGUGAACUUUUUGAUUGUUUGUUCUUGUGUGAUAGGGAUUCCAAACUUGAGAUAGUUAGAAAGACCAUUGUCAUAAG